CAUUAAAAAUAAUUUUAAUUUUGUACAUAUAAUGUAAUUCUUCGAUGAAGGGGCACCGCCAGAUGAAUGAGUAUUAAAAAGCUAGUAGGACUUUCGGGGACCAUAUAAUACAAUGAGUAAUCAAUGAACAUGAGGACUGAAAAUGGAAAUUCAGAAGUACGAACUGUCUUUUUGCAACAAUAAUAGAAGGAAGAUGCCAAUGGCUGACAAUAAUAGAAGGAAGAUGCCAAUAUCCAGCUAUGCAAGGCGACAACAAAUUUUCUGCCCCAUUGGGAUUACCUUUUCCGCCUUCUUAUCAUUAUAAUAUUUCUCCCACCAACUUCUGAUGCGUCUUUUUUUGUCGGUUGGAAAUAAGAAUUCAUUCCUGACGGAUGCUUUAAAAGCUCAUUAGAAAAAAUACAUAUAAUAAGGUAGCUGACGCUUAUAUAUCACUUCAAACUUCUUUUUUUUGGCCGUUCAUCAGGAGCUGUUAUUUGGGACUUGCAUCUAACACGGAGGAGAUCUAUAGGGACCCCGGAGGACUUUCGGGGUGUAUACUCGACGCACGGAGCCUCCUAGAAGACACUGAAAUCUGUAUUUCCACAUCUCUCACUUACCAAACACUGUGUCCUCUCCCCCUUUUGGAUCUAGUUAAGCAUAACUACUACCAUUGUUAGAGUAUCUUCAACAAGCUCUAACUCUCCAUUUUAAUGGCGGAUAUUGAUACUCCAAGCAAAAAUACACCAGUGGCAACAGGAAAAGCAGUGGAGGAUCUCCAGCCAAUGGCCGAAGCUCAGCCAUAAUAAUUCGUUUGCUAAAUCUCCAUGGAUAGGUCGAAAUAAGAGGAAAAUCCUUCUUAUGUUUGCUAAUCAUGGGUGUUGUUUAUCUUAUGAAUGAUAAAGAAUAGUAUUGAUUAUAACAAUAUGACAUUGUAGCAUCAUCUAGGAGCAAGAGAAUAGGUUGUUGUUGUAGAAACACCAUUGAUGAGAGUUGUGGAACUUUAUGCCCAUCAAGUGUUUGAUAAAAUGUUUCACUAUAUUUCAGUGUAUUUAUGUGUAUCGACAAACAGUAUAUCUAAUUUUUCAGUAUAUUUCAGUGUAUUAUUUCGCUGUA